UACGGAGGGAGCUAGCGUUGUUCGGAAUUACUGGGCGUAAAGCGCGCGUAGGCGGCUUUGUAAGUUAGAGGUGAAAGCCUGGAGCUCAACUUCAGAAUUGCCUUUAAGACUGCAUCGCUUGAAUCCGGGAGAGGUGAGUGGAAUUCCGAGUGUAGAGGUGAAAUUCGUAGAUAUUCGGAAGAAACACCAGUGGCGAAGGCGGCUCACUGGACCGGCAUUGACGCUGAGGUGCGAAAGCGUGGGGAGCAAACAGGG
rnacentral:rRNA from 1 species